AAAUGAAUAGACGGGAGCCCGCACAAGCAGUGGAGUAUGUGGUUUAAUUCGAAGCAACGCGAAGAACCUUACCAGAGCUUGACAUCCACAGGAGGACUCGUAAUGGAGUCUGUGCCCUUCGGGGAACUGUGAGACAGGUGGUGCAUGGUUGUCGUCAGCUCGUGUCGUGAGAUGUUGGGUUAAGUCCCGCAACGAGCGCAACCCUUAUGAUUAGUUGCUACGCAAGAGCACUCUAAUCAGACUGCCGUUGACAAAACGGAGGAAGGUGGGGACGACGUCAAAUCAUCAUGCCCCUUACGCCCUGGGCUACACACGUACUACAAUGGCGCAAACAGAGGGGAGCAAGUGCGCGAGCAGGAGCAAAUCCUAAAAAUGCGUCCCAGUUCAGAUUGCAGGCUGCAACUCGCCUGCAUGAAGUUGGAAUUGCUAGUAAUCGCGGAUCAGAAUGUCGCGGUGAAUACGUUCCCGGGCUUUGUACACACCGCCCGU
rnacentral:rRNA from 1 species